AGUACUCAGUCAAAACAGCCUGCAAGUUAGCACGAACUCAUAAUGUAAUAACUAACCAUUGAUCUUGGAAGUUAAUAUGGAAAAUCAAGUUGCCACCCAAAGUCAUCUGCUUCAAUUGGACUGCACUUUAUGAGGCUUGUCUGACACAGGACAACUUAGCCGAGAGGAAUUUUCAGAUUGUGAAUAGAUGUUACAUGUACCAGAGGGAGGCAGAAACUCACAACCAUCUUUUUCUUCAAUGUCCUGUUGCAGCAGAUUUAUGGAGUAUGUUUAUAUCACUCUUUGGACUUAGUUUGGUCAUGCCUUGGAGUUACUGGAAAGUUGAUAGCACCAUUAGGAAAGUAUGGAAGAUGAUACCUGCAGCUAUUUUUUGGAGCAUUUGGAAUGAGAGAAACAGCAGGUAUUUUGAUGGAGUAUCAACUUCUCCCCACAGACUCAAGGCUAGAUGCCUCAUGUAUUUGUAUAGCUGGGCUUAUCUAUCCUCUAUAGACUCCCCUGAUUAGUUUUUUGAAUUUUGUUAGCUCCCUAGUACUAGUAUAAACAUUUGUAAGGAGCUAACAAUUGCUACACUCUUUUGUAACUUCUGCAUCUCCUUGAUGCCAGAAAUGAAACCAAUUACUUCAUCAAAAAAAAUAAUAAAGCCAACCAGAUGUUGUAUUGAUUGAAAUACACGGCUUUUUAUACUAUCAUCAAAUAUUGUAUAACUUAUAUUAAAUUUUAUGUUGGAAUUAAUUUGUUAAGACGAUAAAUCAAACAACCCCUUAUUGUUUAAAGAAUUUUGAAUCAGUCUAUCAAAGAUAUAUACCUCUUUGAACUAACAAAGGGGUGUGAUUUGUCGUAUUGGGGAAGUGUAUAAAAAAUCGGAAUUUAUAGCUUCUAAGUAAAGGCAGUUCAACUUUGCGGGCUUUGGGAGCGUGACUGGCUUUAGAUUUUAAGUAGAAUAUGAUAAAAAAGAAGUGUAUAGCGCAUGAAAUAGAUGCGCUAUACUAACUGACCCCAUUAACAUAAAAUUGUUCGCCCUUUUUUAACACCUAUUUUGGUCGCUUGAGUUCAAAAUAUUAUUACUUUGGUUCCGGACUCAUUAUAGUCUCAGUAAAACAUUAUACUUGGAAAACAGUAGCAUAAUACUAAACCAAUCCUAUUAAGAAACCAAAAAGAUGAAAACCCAAGUUAGGACCGAGCUAAUUACUCUGAAAUUUUCAAUAAUUUAACAAAAAUAAAAAAUAACAAGAAGAUCCAAUCUUUGAAAUAAAAACCCAUAAAACUACCAGUAUUAGGGUUUCUCUGACAGUAGCAUAGCACUAAAAUAAUCCUAAGAAACAUAAAAGAGUAGACCCAAGUUAGGAACAAGCUAAAUACUCUAAAAUUUCCAAUAAUUUAAUUGGAAAGAACAAAAAGAUUCAAUCUCUGACAUAAUCCUAAGGAACAAAAAAACAAAGAUAAACCCCAAGUUAGGAACAAGCUAAUUACUCUAAAAUUUCCACUAAUUUCAUAAGAAAAUUUAUAAAUAUCCAACCUUUGAAAUAAAAACACAUAAAACUACAAAAACUAGGGUUUCUCUGACCUAAUAGACUGAAUUAUCAAUCAAUCAAUAAAUCAAACAAAAAAUGAAAUUAAAAAAAUCCUUCCGAGGAAAUUGAAAAAAUGAAAUAAAAACAAAAGGUUUGAAUUAAAGAAGUGACCUGGGUGAGAAGGCGUAUUAAAGCCAUCUCCUUUUUUCAAAAGAAAGAUUGGAUUUUUCUUCAAUCCCUUUAUAUAUCUUGAGAAUUUCCCCCUCUUGUUUACUAUGUAGUUUUCUUGAUGCUUUUGUGUCAAUUUUUAUUUGUUGAUGGAAAAUGGAGAAGGGGAAAAAGGGGAGCAAGAUGGAUAUUUUGUUUUUGUUUUUUCAGAGGAAAUAUAAAUAUAUUUGGCUAUUUACUACAAAUAAAUUGACAAGAGUAGGUUGCUACAGUUGUGAGCACCCUCCACUUCCAACCAAAAGGUUAUAAGUUCGAGUGACCCCAAGAGCAAGCUGGGGAAGGAGGGUUCGGCCGAACAUAAUAGCUUUAGUUCGAAUUCUGUAUUUGUCUUAAAACAUUUAUUGAAUAUGUAUAAAUUAUUAAUUUAGAACCCAAUAACUUAAGGCGAUUAAAAUCCCAGACCAAUAAGUUUGAAAUCCUAGUUCCGCCUCUGCCUAUUAUGGAAUUGACUGCUAACUUGUACACCGCAUAAAGAUAGCUGAAUUUUAAUUACUCCCCCCGUUCACUUGUACUUGUUCACUUUGGAUUUUGCACGCCCCUUAAGAAAUAAUAAAUAAAGUGCAUAAUUUAUCAUGAUACCCAUAUUAAUUGGUGUAUAGUCUUAAUAAAUUCGAAAAAUGAUUUGGAAUGAGUAAUUAAUGGUAAGGGCAAUACAGAAAAAGUAAAUUAUUUUUCUCUUGAUAUACGAAAAGUGACAAGUAAAAAUGAAAAUUUUAUUUUUAGAAUACGUGACAAUCAAAAGUGAACGGAGGGAGUAUUAUUCUUUUGUUUUAGGAAAUGAUUCAAUCAUAUUUGCACCCCAUUAGUAAAUUAUCUC
rnacentral:lncRNA from 1 species